GGGAGGACAACGACAUUGAAUGUCAGCAUUUGGAUGGGUUCUCCUCUAAGCUUCUCAGAACACCCAGCAAACCUCAGAGAAGGAGGCUUCUUGGCCAAAAUCUUUCUUCAAGGAGAGAGAGACAUGAAUAGCCGUUAGUGGACGAUGCCAAGAUACUGCUUAGGAAAGCUAGCGUCAUCUGUUCAUUUGUUUUGUAAACCCAGAAAAUGAUGUCAUGUGUAAUACGGAUCAGAGAACAGAGACAUGGAGUGAACUCUGGAAAUAACCACAAGACCUGGGAAACGGUUGAGGGUAUGUGAGAAAUUGUUUUGAGUAAAGUGUUAGACUUGAAAGACUAAGGCUGUUCAAUAGUAAACUAGGUCCUUAGUUUGAAUGAGGGUCUGCUUUUUUGCUUUUCAAAAUGUGAUUCAUAUCAACUAGCUUGUUCAAAGGGAGAAUUUUAUUUCCUGUCGUG
rnacentral:lncRNA from 1 species